rfam:Vigna angularis cultivar Jingnong 6 chromosome 4, whole genome shotgun sequence.
UUUGAGGGGAAUGCUGCGUGGUCCAAGGAAAUCGAUAAUAUAUAUAACUCCACCUUCACAUCAGAUCAUUCAGAUGCAAUAAUUCUAUAUUACAUCUGCAGAUUAUGUUUUGUCUCCUCGGACCAGGCUUCAUUCCCCUCAAU